AAGUGGGGGGGCAGGCUAACACAUGCAAGUCGAGCGGCAGCACAAGUAAGUUUACUUAUGAGGUGGCGAGCGGCGGACGGGUGAGUAAUGCCUAGGGAUCUGCCCAGUCGAGGGGGAUAACAGUUGGAAACGACUGCUAAUACCGCAUACGCCCUACGGGGGAAAGGAGGGGACCUUCGGGCCUUCCGCGAUUGGAUGAACCUAGGUGGGAUUAGCUAGUUGGUGAGGUAAUGGCUCACCAAGGCGACGAUCCCUAGCUGUUCUGAGAGGAUGAUCAGCCACACUGGGACUGAGACACGGCCCAGACUCCUACGGGAGGCAGCAGUGGGGAAUAUUGCACAAUGGGGGAAACCCUGAUGCAGCCAUGCCGCGUGUGUGAAGAAGGCCUUCGGGUUGUAAAGCACUUUCAGUAGGGAGGAAAGGGUGAGUCUUAAUACGGCUCAUCUGUGACGUUACCUACAGAAGAAGGACCGGCUAACUCCGUGCCAGCAGCCGCGGUAAUACGGAGGGUGCGAGCGUUAAUCGGAAUUACUGGGCGUAAAGCGUGCGCAGGCGGUUUGUUAAGCGAGAUGUGAAAGCCCUGGGCUCAACCUAGGAAUAGCAUUUCGAACUGGCGAACUAGAGUCUUGUAGAGGGGGGGUAGAAUUCCAGGUGUAGCGGUGAAAUGCGUAGAGAUCUGGAGGAAUACCGGUGGCGAAAGCGGCCCCCUGGACAAAGACUGACGCUCAUGCACGAAAGCGUGGGGAGCAACAGGAUUAGAUACCCUGGUAGUCCACGCCGUAAACGAUGUCUACUCGGAGUUUGUGUCUUGAACACUGGCUCUCAAGCUAACGCAUUAGUAGACCGCCUGGGGGAGUACGGCGCAGAUAAACUCAAUGAAUUGACGGGGGCCGCACAGCCGUUGAGCAUGUGAUUUAUCGAUGCAACGCGAGAUCUAACCUACUCAUGGACUUCACGACGAGACCAGAGAUUGACUGUGCUCGUACUGUCGAACGGCUGCAUGCUGACGUCGCCUCGUUGGCACUGU
rnacentral:rRNA from 1 species